AGGGUAGUAGCGCAGCUGGUAGCGUACUUGGUUGGAGACCAAGGGGUCGUCGGCGGUCCGCCGUA
rnacentral:tRNA from 1 species